rnacentral:rRNA from 1 species
CCUACGGGUGGCAGCAGUGGGGAAUAUUGGACAAUGGGGGGAAGCCUGAACCAGCGACGCCGCGUGAGUGAAGAAGUAUCUCGGUAUGUAAAGCUCUAUUAGCAGGGAAGAAAGACAUGACGGUACCUGACUAAGAAGCCCCGGCUAACUACGUGCCAGCAGCCGCGGUAAUACGUAGGGGGCAAGCGUUAUUCGGAUUUACUGGGUGUAAAGGGAGCGUAGACGGCGAUGCAAGUCUGAAGUGAAAGGCGGGGGCCCAACCCCCGGACUGCUUUGGAAACUGUAGGGCUGGAGUGCAGGAGAGGUAGGUGGAAUGCCUGGUGUAGCGGUGAAAUGCGUAGAUAUUAGGAGGAACACCAGUGGCGAAGGCAGCUUACUGGACUGUAACUGACGUUGAGGCUCGAAAGCGUGGGGAGCAAACAGGAUUAGAUACCCCAGUAGUC